GAUGAACGCUGGCGGCGUGCCUAAUACAUGCAAGUCGAGCGAACAGACGAGGAGCUUGCUCCUCUGACGUUAGCGGCGGACGGGUGAGUAACACGUGGAUAACCUACCUAUAAGACUGGGAUAACUUCGGGAAACCGGAGCUAAUACCGGAUAAUAUAUUGAACCGCAUGGUUCAAUAGUGAAAGACGGUUUUGCUGUCACUUAUAGAUGGAUCCGCGCCGCAUUAGCUAGUUGGUAAGGUAACGGCUUACCAAGGGGACGAUGCGUAGCCGACCUGAGAGGGUGAUCGGCCACACUGGAACUGAGACACGGUCCAGACUCCUACGGGAGGCAGCAGUAGGGAAUCUUCCGCAAUGGGCGAAAGCCUGACGGAGCAACGCCGCGUGAGUGAUGAAGGUCUUCGGAUCGUAAAACUCUGUUAUUAGGGAAGAACAAAUGUGUAAGUAACUAUGCACGUCUUGACGGUACCUAAUCAGAAAGCCACGGCUAACUACGUG
rnacentral:rRNA from 1 species